rnacentral:rRNA from 1 species
AUUGAACGCUGGCGGCAGGCCUAACACAUGCAAGUCGAGCGGAUGAGAGGAGCUUGCUUCUCGAUUCAGCGGCGGACGGGUGAGUAAUGCCUAGGAAUCUGCCUGGUAGUGGGGGACAACGUUUCGAAAGGAACGCUAAUACCGCAUACGUCCUACGGGAGAAAGCAGGGGACCUUCGGGCCUUGCGCUAUCAGAUGAGCCUAGGUCGGAUUAGCUAGUUGGUGAGGUAAUGGCUCACCAAGGCGACGAUCCGUAACUGGUCUGAGAGGAUGGUGAGCCACACUGGAAGGGAGACACGGUCGCUACUCCUACGGGAGGCAGAAGUGGGGAUAAUUGGACAAUGGGCGAAAGCCUGAUCCAGCCAUGCGGCGUGUGUGAAGAAGGUCUUCGGAUUGUAAAGCACUUUAAUUUGGGAGGAAGGGUUGUAGAUUAAUACUCUGCAAUUUUGACGUUACCGACAGAAUAAGCACCGGCUAACUCUGUGCCAGCCGCCGCAGUAACAC